rnacentral:rRNA from 1 species
UACGGGGGGAGCAAGCGUUGUUCGGAUUUACUGGGCGUAAAGGGCGCGUAGGCGGCGCAACAAGUCACUUGUGAAAUCUCCGGGCUUAACCCGGAGCGGCCAAGUGAUACUGUCGUGCUAGAGUGCAGAAGGGGCUACUGGAAUUCUCGGUGUAGCGGUGAAAUGCGUAGAUAUCGAGAGGAACACCUGCGGCGAAGGCGGGUAGCUGGGCCGACACUGACGCUGAGGCGCGAAAGCCAGGGGAGCGAACGGG